rnacentral:rRNA from 1 species
GUCCAGACUCCUACGGGAGGCAGCAGUGGGGAAUAUUGCACAAUGGGGGAAACCCUGAUGCAGCGACGCCGCGUGAGCGAUGAAGUAUUUCGGUAUGUAAAGCUCUAUCAGCAGGGAAGAAGAUGACGGUACCUGACUAAGAAGCCCCGGCUAACUACGUGCCAGCAGCCGCGGUAAUACGUAGGGGGCAAGCGUUAUCCGGAUUUACUGGGUGUAAAGGGAGCGUAGACGGCGAUGCAAGCCAGAUGUGAAAGCCCGGGGCUCAACCCCGGGACUGCAUUUGGAACUGUGUGGCUGGAGUGUCGGAGAGGCAGGCGGAAUUCCUAGUGUAGCGGUGAAAUGCGUAGAUAUUAGGAGGAACACCAGUGGCGAAGGCGGCCUGCUGGACGAUGACUGACGUUGAGGCUCGAAAGCGUGGGGAGCAAACAGGAUUAGAUACCCUGGUAU